AAAAAGUAUUUGGGGAUUGAAUUUAUUGAAUAAAUAAGAUUAACUGAAUGUUGAUGGAAGAACAGUUAAUAGUUUCUUGAAAAGUAUAUUUUUAUAUAUAUGUAAAUAAAAGGUCUAUUUUCUUCUGAAUAACAUUGAAAACAUAUUGAUCAAGGUAAUAUAUAAACAUAAUUAGGAAAUUUCUAGAAGAAUCUGAGUGUAGUACUGCCGCGGACCAGCACAGCAGUAGAUGAUGAGGCCGUCUCAGGGUUGAGAGAAGUGCGCAGGGUGGUCAGGGAGUCGGCGAAAGAAAUGACACACAGACACACUUCUAGAGAGUGAAAAUCUGAGUGUAACUUUAUUUGAGUUAAUGGCCAGUAUAUAUAUGUUUUUCUAAAGGCAUAGGAUCAGUUAUCAGUGAACUAAACCAGCUGGCUCAUAGGUUUAGCUUAUCAUUGACAGGGCAGUGAUCUACGUCCGAAGUUACAUCUGGACCUAGUGACAUUCCUGAGUAGUCAGGCUAAUAAUCUUUCUUUUGUUCUAUGUAAUUACUUUUUUGUUUUAAUAACUAUUCACUACCACUAACUUAUUUUACCUUUUAUAAUGCAAUGCUUUUUUAUUAACAUCAAAGCUAUCAAAGCUGAGCACAUAACCUAGAAAUUACUAACCAUUCUAUUAUUACACAGAGUUUUGUAAUGUUUCAUUUGAGUUAGUCCAGUUAUUAGAUUACAUGUGUUUUUUUAAUCAGCAACCAAUGACCUUUUUAGACCAGGAAAAAGAAAAGAUUUUAGUAAGGAAAAAGAAAAGAUUUUAGUAAGACAGUUGCUGUAGAAUAAAGUUUGUGGGCCUUGAGAAAGCGAGAUAAGGUUCCGUGUGGUCAGCAUCCCUUUUAAGUCUUUGUGGCGGCUUCUGGUAGUUGUUAUCUCUUGGCAGGCAUUCGGCUUCUCUGCAUCUUGGGGAGUUUGCUGUUCUCCCCCUGCGCACAUGGUUCCUUGCCCACGCCGGACCUCAGGGACCAUGGCAACAGCCAUUAGCCCUGAAGGUAAGGUCACUGCAGGGUGGAGGUGCAGCAUAGUACCAUUCAAAAUUCACAGUUCUUGAGAUCACGGGGUCAUAUCUUUCUCAGUCUAGUAAAAAUAUCACAAAUUGUGUAUAUCAUUUUGGUAAGGUUUUAAAGAAGUCAUCACACAGGCAUCAUUGAGCAAACCGGAAUCUAUUCAACAGUACUGAGCAACACAUUCUUAUUUCUGAAAUGCCACAUUAGAUAUAUGAAAAUUAUCAAUAUUUAUAUACAAAGAAAAGUGAUAGAAGUUGUGAUUACUGAAUAGUCUAAGUCAUCAGACUCAUCCAGAUACUUCUUUUACGUCUGAGAGAAAUGUGUACUGUUACGGAGCAUCAGAUAAAAUCCAGCUGUACUUUAAUCCCAUUUCAAUCUAUCCUCACAGAAAAUAUUGACUCUUUUCCUGCAGACAUGCAGCUGUCAACUAUCCAACUAUGGGUCUAGAUUUGCAUUACACUUUUAUUUCCUACCUGUUCCUUUUCAUCUAAAACACUUGUCCCAUGAAACAGCUUUCACUGUCUGAAUAUGAAGGCAGGAAGUGCGGUGUCAUCAAACCUGUUGGAUAAUGUUCAUGGGCACAACAAAUAAUAUCGGCUAAAUUUAAGGGGAUGUAUUUCUGUUUUUAGAAAUGGUAAAAUCACUACUUAUCGCCAUGCAUUGUUAAUGUCAUAGUUAUCAUUCCAGUAAAAAUUUCAUUUCGUACCAAUAUGUAUGACAUUCUGCCCGCCCUCCCCCCCCAAGUAAAGUCUUUAACACAAUGAAAUACCCACAGAGUAUGUGCACUUGAUUGAAAAGUAGGUGAAGUUACAGAAGCUCCUAGGGAGAUAUAUAGACUGGGAUUUCUGGAAAUCUUAAAGAUUUGUAAGCAAUAGCAGAAAGUAUAUUUAUUGUAAAGAUUAGUGAAGACCCACAAGAUUGUGGUGAUCAUUAAAUCCAAAUGCAGCAGUUCAACAGAAUAAAAAAUUCUUUCUUAUGAAUUCUUUCUUAGAACAGUUCUCUUUAACCAUUUUUUUCCUGCUUGGUCUUGUAAGAAUACUAGCAACCUCUGGCUCACAGAUCAAUUAUCCUAGAUAAUAUCAUAGUAUAUUACAUCAAUUCUUUGUAUGUGAACUAAGAGGACAUUGAGAAGAAACAUGAGCUUCUUAUCAUGUCCAGAGGUAACAUCUGUCACAUUUGUUCACUUUGUAUUGGGAAGAAUGAGUCACAUGAUCACUCAUAACUGCACAGGAACUGUGAAAGCUACUUUUGCAUCACUAAUUUCAGGCUAUAACUAUUAUGGAAUUGAAAAAGGAUUUCUAGGUAGUUUCUUGUCUUUAAUAUAGAGAAAUAUUGCUAUUCAAUUGUUCUGAACAUAAGAGGGUGUUUUUGUUGCAGGUUUUGUGGGGUUUUUUGGUCUGUUUAUAUUUUUCCUGCUCAAUUUUCUGGCCAACUAGGUACAUAUAAAGCCCCAAAAUGCAAAUUAACUCAUAUUGGGAACAAUAGAAUGAAAUAAAUCUGCAAAAACAAGGUCAGUAUAUAGAGCUCAUCUCACUAAACAGAGGAAAGAAUUGAACUCAAUAUUCUAUAUCCAUGUAGAAAAUGCUUGAAUUAAGGUGAAUGCUUGAAUUAAUAAGGUGAACAGAUUUUUGACUUUGAGAUUCAUGUAACAUUCACAGUGAUGAUACCCUAAAAUGUCAUUUAUAUUUGACUGCAUUACAAAGACCCUUUAUAUUUUUGUGUACAGUGAAUAAUAUUCUCAAUUCUGAGUCUUAUAGGAACAUCCAGGGAAAAGAAAUAAUGCCCCAGGCAAACAUGCAUGAACUUAAUUAGCAUCAUAGAGUAAAUGCCACAUUUGGCCUUAUAUGGUGGCAGCCCUGUAUGAGUCACUGAAAUGGCUUUAAAAUGGAAAUGUUUGCUGAUAGCCCCUGACGUAUUCAUCUUUUUCUCCCAGCAGAAAUACUCAGUGAGUACAAAGGAGAUUAAUUUUUUAAGAUUUAUUUAUUUAUUUAUACAGGCACUGGGUACAGUCAGAAGCACGAGAGAGUGAGAGAAUUCACCAGAACCAGAGCGGGGAGGAGAACAGGCAGGCUGAGGAAGUACACUGCUGAGGGGAGCAGCGGGUGGCAGGAGAGGUCUGCGCACCAUGUGGGACCCUUCUGGCAGCCGGAGAUCUAACCAGCACUGCGGAGGCUGCGGGCAGCUUCACAACCCAGCACUCAACCGCUGCACCACCAGGGGAGGCCCACAAAGGAGACUAUUUUACAAUAAUAUACACAUUCAUUUCACAAAGCAAAAGGAAAGUAAGAGGGCUCAUUUGCAUGUCUGGACCUGGGAUUUCUUGCAUAGCACUCCAACAAUACACAAGAGUCUUGCCAGGUCCACAUACCAAAAGCUUUCCCUAUGGUCCUUGAGCCCCAGAAAAUAGGUGAUCUUGGCUCUCUUUUCCUUAUAUAAUAAGUUUCUUCUUUUCUGGAUUUAUCGGACUGCUUUCUAUGGAAAUUUUCAUCUUUCUCCAAUUUCUCUCUCUCUUGUCUAUAGGUAGAGUGUACCAAUGAUGUUCGUGAUGCUGGUUUUCAUGGAAAGUCUUGUAGAGUUAUCCUUUCAGAAGGCUCAGAUGGAACUCGUGCAGCAGAGGCUGCAGAUGGCUUCGCAGUGCUGUGCUUAAUCCCUGCGCCAUCAGAGAGGCCCCACGCCUUGCUUUUAUGUCAGCUUCAGGGUCUGGCUGCGGCAGACACUGUCGGUGAAAGGCUGGAAGUCCUGGAGCUUGCAACAGACCUGCCUGUGCCUUCUGCCCCAGCCCACUGUGACCUGCUCAUUAGCUGGAGUUAUGUUGGGACAAGGCCUGGGGGUGGACUAAAAGUUUCAGGGAGUGACUGGCCAGGAGCCUGACUUGUGCCCCCCAGAUGACCAGAUGGAACUCGUGCAGCAGAGGCUGCAGAUGGCUUCGCAGUGCUGUGUUUAAUACCUGCGCCAUCAGAGAGGCCCCACGCCUUGCUUUUAUGUCAGCUUCAGGGUCUGGCUGCGGCAGACACUGUCGGUGAAAGGCUGGAAGUCCUGGAGCUUGCAACAGACCUGCCUGUGCCCUCUGCCCCAGCCCGCCUGCCCCAGCCCACUGUGACCUGCUCAUUAGCUGGAGUUAUGUUGGGACAAGGCCUGGGGGUGGACUAAAAGUUUCAGGGAGUGACUGGCCAGGAGCCUGACUUGUGCCCCCCAGAUGACCAGGUGAGCUCUUAGAAGUCUCCUGCUUCUCUACUCCCUGCUUGCUUCAAGUUGCAAAUGUGCCCCUGCUGGGGCCAUGGGUACUCUGUCGCCCAAUGGCUCAGGGCUCAGACUUUGGAAAAAGAUCACCUCUGGGCCUGCGGGAUAAAUAAAGAUGAAAUUUUUCCAUAACCUCUCACAAUCUAAAAAUCAAAAGGUAGAAGGUCCUAACUCUAAAUGCAAAUAAAGCGAGAUGUGUUAAGAAUUGUAUAUAAAACAGGGCCUCCCCUGGUGGUGU